CUCUGUUGGAUUCAAGAGAAGGGUAGGUCGGUAAUUUCCCCUUCUCCCGUUCUUCGUUCUUUUUCUCUGGGAUCUUAUAUCUUCCUCUUCGUUAUUCUGAAGAGCUCUUAUCACUUCCCUUUAUGUUCCAUGUAUAAAAGUCACGUUUGUUAUCCUGAAAGGUUUGUUUCCUCUAUGUUACAUGGAAAACAACAGAUUCAUUUUUUGCCAUAAUGCGAACACGAACGUUUCAUUCCAAUUCCCUAUAGAUUUGCUCCUCCAAACAAGAAGAAAACACAAGCGUAUGUUUUGUUUGAUCUCUUGGAAUGAAAUCAAAAACACAAUCCCCUUCAUAAGCUUGGAAUGAAAUCAAAAACAAGAAAACAGAAUACACUUGCUCCGUCACAAGAACAUUCAUGUUUGUUGCUUUGGCUCUAUAAAAGUACUGUGUAUGUUGGUCCUCUAUGCAUUUCUAAGGAUAAGAUAUAUGUACACCAACAUUUUUGGAGUGUUGAAAAAAGGAAGAUAUUUCUUUUUUAAUUGACUUUACUUUCAUUGGUUAAUUUCAAGUUGUAAUUUGAAUUUAAACUCGUAAAAUAAAAAUUGGUUAUUUAUUUACAAGCAAGAAUUGGUAUGAUCUCGGGCCCGUGCCUUGCACGGGCAUUCCACAUCUAGUCUAGUAUACAUACAAGUGAUAGUAUUACAUCUGGAUUGGGUUUAUCCCUCUAAGAAG
rnacentral:lncRNA from 1 species